GGACCGCGGCCUGGGGGCGGGGGGUGCGAUGCUUUUUGGGGGGGAUCCCCGCCGCUUUGGGGACCCUCAUCCCCUCGGGAGAAGAAGCUGAUCCCCUGGGGGGGUAACUGCCUGGGGAAGGCCCCUCUUGAGCGGGCUGUGCUGCUGUGGUGACCCUGACCCUGCCUGGGCCUGGCUCUGCCCUCACACCGGGCAGGGACAUAUCUCUGGUGAUAGACCCCAGAGCCAGGCAGGGCCUGCUUGUGCCCCCCACUCCUUCCCCAGGCUUUGCCCCUCAGCGGGCACCGCGGGGCUCUGGGUCCAGCACCAGGCAGCUGCGCGCGCGCGGGCAGCUCAACCCAAGAGCGAAAAAGCAGUUCUGUCGGUGGUGAGGAGUUGCAGCUUUGCACCUUGAUGGCAUCGUCCACCUGAGAUCUUCAAACGCGUGGUGGUCACUGACCACUUGGGCCUUGCAAGACCUUCCCAAGCUGGCUGGCAUUGCUGCAGCUUCUCGUAUUUACAGCUGAGGAAACUAAGGCAGUGGCAAGAGAGUGAACAGCGACAGGUCCCUGAGGCCAUUAGCAGCCCUGUUAGGAACAGAUCCAGGUCUCCUAGAGGUCCAUGCAACCUUCUCCUCCAGUGUCCACAGAUGUUCAGGUUUUCAGGCUGCUGCAGGCAGGUACUCAGCUUCUUCCGCAGGACUCAGCAUUUCUCCUUGUCCUUCAAAGCCAGGCAGAUUUCCCCCUCCUGAACACAUCAAGAGGGCUCCCUCAAUUCUUGGGGUUUUCCUGCUUUUAUACUGGCAGCAAAGCUUGGGGAAUGCCCAGCAAAGGUGGGAGCAUCUUUCACUAAACCACCAGCCUCAUGUCCUGUGGGAGCUGCUGCUUUUCUCCAGGCGUGUCUCAGCAAUUCCUUCCAGGUCCCUUUCCUGCCGGGUCCAGCCUUGCUUCGUGUGGGAAAGCCGAUAAAAUCCCAAGCCCGGGUACUGCGCCACCGAGACUUGGCCCUGCACCAGUGCUCAGGGGUGAUACGUGGCCAUUGGAGCAGCUCCAUCGUACGUUCACCGUGAGAACACGUGAUGCUUCACUUACAUGUGACAGCCAAGGUCCCACCUGCUGUGGCAGGAGCAUGAACAUCACAGCCAGGGCAGCUACAGAUUCUCUUCCUCAUCUAGUGCCAUCACCAUCACUGAUAAUCAUCCUUCUGUGGCUGAUGCAUCGAGCGAAGAGCCAGCAGCUCCCAAUCUUGCAGAGACGUGCUGCGAAGCAACUGCACAGAAAUGAGACCGAACCCGUGUUGACGCCACAGGGGGCUGCAUCCCGUUGUUGCCUUUCAGAGGGAGCGGGGACAUCGGCAGCGCUGCCAGCGGCUCUCCGAUGGACAGCUAAUGGAAAACCUCCUUUUAAAAACCACUGAGGCCUAGCAAAUCGGGGUUAUUUUUGGAGAACAAAAAGCUUCAGCUCUACCCAUGCUCCCAAGGCUCGGCUCGGUGGCACGGCCGCCACGAAGACGUCCCCCAGGAUGUCUAAAUGCAGAGCUCUCGCUGCCCGGCUGUGCCACGGCCCUGCGGUCUCCACGUGGGGAAGGGGACAGACACCACACACCAAAGAAGAAACUACCGCUCUAUUGGAUACGUAGAAAAUGCUGACGGUUUAAUAAGCCCUGCGGCACGGGGCUCGUGCUGCCAGGGCUGGCUCGCUUGGCGUCACCUCCCCAGGGUUCCAGUUCCCUGUGUCAGGACAGCAUCGUUCGCUCCGAGUCCGAGAACCAAGCGGUGGGAAAGGAGGUGCCGAGCGGGGCCGGCGAGCUCCCAGCACAGCCGGGGCGCGCGAAGGCAUCGAGGGGAAAGGACAGAGAAAUAAAAACAGCAAAGAAAAAGGAGCGAGGGAACGGUUGCAGGGGAAACCCUCGCCAGCCACUCUCCGCCUAACCACACGGAUCUUUCCGAAAUGAGCAGCUCCAAGGGCUACACUCCUUUUCACUUACGUAUUCCUUAGCAGGUUUAUUUUCUUUAACAGUUUGCUUUCGUUUUCCUCCGUCCACGUCAGGCUGUGGAUGCCGCCAGGCAGGGAAAGGGAAGAGCAACGAAACCGGCUGCUGCAGCGUUCAGUGAGCGGGAGGCAGGGAGCGACGGGGAGCGGGCAGACGGAGCUGCAGAGCCCUGUACGGACACAAAUGUUUUGUCAGGGAAAGAAAUUAAUUAAAAUAAGCUGGGGGGGGGGGGGGCUCAUUUAAACUUCUCAGUCUGUGCUAACCACUGCCUGUUCCCCUCCCCACCCCCAGAUGUGGGAAUCAAAGGUGAAACCAGCCACUGAAAAUCAGAGUAACAUAAAAACAAGACAGCAGAAAUCACAUCAACCCCCCCAAUUUUUAUUUUAUUUUUUGUUUUUUUAAAUUCACCUUUCAUUUCUACUAGCAAGACAAGUAACCACAUACGACGUAACUAGAUUCUGCUCCCUCGUGCCCCCAGGCAGGCCGGCAUGACGAGGGCUGGUGGUGCUGUGCCGGGGGUCCCGCUCGGCUGUCGGCUCCCCCGAGCACGUCGUGCGUAACGGCUGUAGCGGUGUAGCUGCUCAAAUGAAGAAAAAAAAGAGCAACAUUACAAUAUUUCUAAAACCGAGCAUUUUCACAACAUCUUCUAGACGUGAUAUGAAGUUGGGAAGUGUCAUCUGUGGAAUAUACCUGUCGAUGCCGCCUGCUCUUCUGGGUGGCUUUUCUUCCUUAAAGCCCUACCUCUGUGUGUCCUUUCCGGCUGCUUUCAGGAAAAAUUCACCCUGUCAGAGUGUGUUGUGGUUUUUGUCUGCAACAGGACAUGCUACAGCAUGUGCAUAUGAAAUCUUUUUGCUUACAUACAAAUCCACAUAGAUAAAACGAGCUCUGCCACCAUCUGCUUUUAUGGGAAAUAUUUUCAAACUCACACACACUUUCCUUGUCUUAUCGAUGUCCUCGAGAGUUUCUCUGACAAAAAUCACAGGGUGUAUUUUUGCAUUUUUUUUUUACGUGCAAAUUAAUAACUUGGAUAACAUUGAAGUACCAGUUAAAAUAGAAGGGCACCAAAAUAUCAGCUUUGUAUUUCAAGCUCCAAAGACACCAUCCAUGCUGCGACUCCGUGUUGCUGUUGAAAUGCCAACAGAAACCCCUCAAGCAGCAUAUUCAGAAUGGCUGUUACGGGGAGGAAACGGCAAGUUUGGACAAGUCAAAGCUUACCUCUCCAAAAAAAAAUGUUACAACUUAGGACAGCGUUUUAAAAAUGACCCUUUUCUUCCAAACAAUCCGAGCUUUGAUGAACUGUUAUUUUACAACAGAGUAAAGAUUAGUCACGACUAAUCCCAGCUGGAUGGUUGGGUGCUGAGGAUCAGGAAAGGGGGGGCAGGCGCGCGGCAGCGGGCAGAACUGCGGCCCCCGCUCUGCCGGCUCCGCUGGGGAAAAGCUCUCGCUCCCAAAGCCUCUGUUCAGUCAUAAAGAAAAAUGAACCGUGACUCUCAUUGUAAAGCAUUUUAGUAUCUUCGCAUGGAAAGACCCUGCCUGUGCAUCGGGGCGGGCAUCUGCAAGGAGGGAGAGCACGUUUUAACACGGCAGGAAGAGGGCUGGGGACGGAGGCAAGCUGAGAAAAUGCCAGAAAGGGCCAAACCACAGUUGUUGUUUUAAUUUCGCUACGUGAGAAGGCCUAAAGCGGCUGUACCAAAGCGCUCUCCCGCACAUCUGCACCUGGACAACUUCCCACACUGGCUUACACCGUUCAUACUUGCAUUAUUCAUCAAUAUUAUCAGUUGGAAAGCCCUGUUUUUCAUUACUUUCAUUUUGAGAACGAAAGCUUGUCAUAUUAGAGUAGUUGGCUUUUUUCUUUAGCAAGAUUAUUUGCCAUUUCCUUCCCAGUAAUUUAUUUUCUACAUAAUUAAUGUUUAAUGAUUCUACACAUAUACAUUUUGCCAGAAAGCCAAAAGUGACUCUGACAAAACAAAUAAAUGUUCUGCAGCUUA